UACGAAGGGGGCUAGCGUUGCUCGGAAUCACUGGGCGUAAAGGGUGCGUAGGCGGGUCUUUAAGUCAGGGGUGAAAUCCUGGAGCUCAACUCCAGAACUGCCUUUGAUACUGAAGAUCUUGAGUUCGGGAGAGGUGAGUGGAACUGCGAGUGUAGAGGUGAAAUUCGUAGAUAUUCGCAAGAACACCAGUGGCGAAGGCGGCUUACUGGACCGGUUCUGACGCUGAGGCGCGAAAGCGUGGGGAGCAAACAGG
rnacentral:rRNA from 1 species